AGUGAACGCUGGCGGUAGGCCUAACACAUGCAAGUCGAACGGCAGCACAGUAAGAGCUUGCUCUUACGGGUGGCGAGUGGCGGACGGGUGAGGAAUACAUCGGAAUCUACUUUUUCGUGGGGGAUAACGUAGGGAAACUUACGCUAAUACCGCAUACGACCUACGGGUGAAAGCAGGGAAUCUUCGGACCUUGCGCGAUUGAAUGAGCCGAUGUCGGAUUAGCUAGUUGGCGGGGUAAAGGCCCACCAAGGCGACGAUCCGUAGCUGGUCUGAGAGGAUGAUCAGCCACACUGGAACCGAGACACGGUCCAGACUCCUACGGGAGGCAGCAGUGGGGAAUAUUGGACAAUGGGCGCAAGCCUGAUCCAGCCAUACCGCGUGGGUGAAGAAGGCCUUCGGGUUGUAAAGCCCUUUUGUUGGGAAAGAAAAGCAGCAGGUUAAUACCCCGCUGUUCUGACGGUACCCAAAGAAUAAGCACCGGCUAACUUCGUG
rnacentral:rRNA from 1 species